GCGAGAGUAACUCAGUGGUAGAGUUCUACCUUGCCAAGGUAGCUGUCGCGGGUUCAAGUCCCGUCUCUCGCUCCA
rnacentral:tRNA from 6 species